rnacentral:lncRNA from 1 species
UUUUUAUUUUUUUGCUCAACCAGUUUUAGAGGUCAACAGAUGAGCUGACCUCUCAAACUACCUUUCAGCCUGGGAUGGUGUCACCACUUGAGACAAGGCUGGAGACCAGGUUGCUCGUUGUACCACCUGGUAGCAAGGGGGAUUACGGGUACGUUGCAGGAGGGUGAAACCAGGGCCGCUUCCCAGAGUUAACAAAGGGGUUAUGAGAGUAGCAGGGGAUCCCCACCCUCCAUCUCUCUUUGAAGAGAAUCAAAGCCACCAUGAUGAGGAAGGGACACCAAUGAGCUACUGUCAUUGUGAGGAGGAUGAUCUGGAUGUCUCAGUAUCUAUCAGAGAAAGUAAGGAAAACUGAGGCUGUGGUCUCACUGUGAAGGGAGACACGUCUAGAAAAAAAUAUCCCUUUGAAGAGCUUUUGAGAAUCAAAUGAAAAAUAUCUGAUGUGGGACAGUUUUUCUCUGAAAUUGUGAGUGGCCUGCUGGGUGGCUUCUGUGCUGUGCAAGAGCAUGGUUAUGAGGAUGGUGGAUUUGGGGGUGGGGUGGGGUUUGGGGUUUAGGGUUUCCUCCUGCUUAUAAGGAAGGAAGGACACAGAAAGAAGGUUCCACUAAAUGAGCCUCCAGGGAGUGUGGGGCUGUGGUGCGGGCACUACUGAGCCAGAUUCUGACCCUCCUUCCCCUUUGUUUGCCACACGGAUUUGCAAUUCUUCCCACUAAGGAGGGGAGGGGAGCCUGCCCCUUGACUUCGGGUUGGCUGCAUAACUCAGUUUGGCCAGAUCACCAGGGACCUGAUGCAUUUUUACUUGCUCCAUCGCCCCUCCGCCAUCACCCUGAACAGACUGACUACUGUGUUACUGGUUGGCGGUGUGAAGAGUGCAGCCACCAGUGGCCACCACCUGAAGCACAGAGGCGUCACCAAGCCGACCUUGGGCCAGCAGAAGCCCAGUGGCCCUGCAGACGUGGGCAACACAGAACUGUUGAAGUCCUGAGGCCGGGGCACUCCAUGAUAUAGCUGCACCUUUGGCACAGGAGCGAGGAGACCAGCACUGGGCAGGAGUGCACUCCCAGGGCCCAGUCAGCGCUCUGCUCGGGGCCACCAGCUGUUCCAGAAGACUAACAGCUGAGCCGCUAAUUGAGAGGACAGGACAACUUUAGUAACCGGUCAUCACGGACUCCCAAUUUCGUGAUCCCUUCUGCAUUUCAGACCUUUGCUCUCAUUCCUACACAUAAUGAAAAGAAAAACCAGACUUUUAAUCACGGUGGUUGGCUGCAAAAAGUGACACUUUUGCUAAUAAUAAACAUGCGAUCGUUAACGCUUUACCACAUCACAUGCCUUUGGCUCAGGUCUCCUGGUACUUCAUAAACACGUCCUCAUUCAUCAUUUGGAGGCCUGAGGUUUCUGCUCACUCCCAUGGCGAAGAGAGGCAGCUAACUCCUGGCCUGGGGGACCUUUCCUGGGGUCCUGAGUUAAUAGGAUUCUCCGAGGGACGGAGGACAAGGAAUUACCUAUGGUCUUGUUGGAGAACACUGACUCUAAAUAAUUUCCUAUCCAUGCAACUGCUCACCAUCUCAGUGCCUGACUUGGAUUUUAAUCUGGUUCAGCUUCUUCCUGACUGUUGUGACCUUAGGGAAAUGAACUUUUCUGACCCUCUGCUCCCUCAACAUAAAACCUUAAGAGUUGCUGUCAGGGUUCUAGAUAAUAACUACAUAAGAAAAAAACUUCUGGUCUUAUGCUUACAUGUGUAGGUUCUUAAGGCUAGCUGUUUUCUUUAUCAGAGCACACAGGAAGGAGGGUUGUCGUGUGUGAAUGUAUACGUUGUUAACUGCAAAAGACGCCUAGCCAAGGAGGCAAACAGGGCUGAAGUCCAAUCCUUGUCUCCUCUGUGGCUUGUAGCUGUCCAGAAAAAAGGGUCCCUGUUCCUAACUUGCACUUGCACACAGGGUAUAAGGCAGACCUGAUGGCCCAGCACCCUGAGAGUCAAAAUCACUUUUGUGUUGAAAUGUCUCUGAAAGAAAGUGAAAACCCAUCACUUGAGUAGCCUGCAAAUAGUCAUUCAGCUUUUUUUUUGAUUGAGCACAUCUGGGGAGACACCUUGGAAUCUGUACUCAAACUCAAUGUCUGGGAAUGUCUGUCCACACCGAGCCUCAUGAACCACUGUGAUGUUUCUGGUCUCCUUGGCUCAGGCCUGGGCUCUUGAGAGAUAACAGCAGGUCGAACAAACAAACAGGAAAUAAUCUACACCAGUUCAAGUUUAAAUCCCAGGGUUAAAAAUCCAGAAAUACCCGCUGUGUCUUGUUAACAAGAGCUUCAGUCAGCAGGGCCUCCCAGAGCGCUUGGGGCAGGGAGAGGCCAGGCACAGAGGGGGCACGUGGCAGAGGGGCAGUUGGAAGGUGGCCGGGUCUCUGACAAGUAGCCUCUGAUGUACACUAAUGAUAGGAAAGAGCUUGGCCACCGAAGGCAAUUACAGAGGAUGAGACACUGCGCACGCCAGCGAGUCAGGGGAGUGCAGGGGGAUCUUAUUAUCUCUCUGUCUUGCUUAAUAGGAGUUAAUAGUUGGAAGGGAAUAAAAGAAUGGUGUGUGAAGUUUAGUGCCAAUACGGUCUAAUAUACAUGCUAUGUUUUUAUUUCAAAGAGGAUAAAGGCCCAAAUUUUAUACUGAAAACAAAUGUUAAAAAUUAAUUAUAAAGAAGACACCAGAGGGCCUCGAGCAUGUUCCCUGGGUGACUGAUUAAAUGCCUGCCUCAUUUAGACUGGUAUAAACCCAAUCUCUUGGAGGAAGGCCAAAACUAUUUGCCAACGUCCACAGAGACUCUCCAAGAAAAUGAUCCUGGUGCCAGGAAAGAGAAAAACAUACUCACCACUGCUGCCUGGAGCCAGCCACAGCCAUGGGGUGGGAUCCAGUCACGGGCAGGAAAGGGAAUGCUUCUGCUAGGUCAGUGUGGGUCAAGCGCAUCCUUUACCACCUGAAACUGAUCACUGAGGACCCAAACAAGUGACACUGCACAAAUCUGUGAUGAAGGUGUCCUUGAAGCUUGGGGGGGAUGGGGGCUUUAUUUUUUUAACCCCUAGAUUUUGUUUGCUUUUAGAGAAUAUCUUCCCAAUUCUCAGAGUGUGCAAACUCUAACUGAAAAUUUAAGAAGUAGGAAAUAAGCCAAUGGCUCUGUUACCUUUUGAAUUUUAAAAUUAUAUUUUAAUGGCAAGAUAACAUGUUCCUUGUUAAAACUAAAAGAUUAUCAAAAAAGCUGCCUUCGACACUCUGCAUAGCCUCAAACCCUAAUUUCUUUCUUUCCUCCUUCCUUCCUUCCUUUUGCCUCAAGUCUGGUGUGGGCUCUCUCUGACCCUCAGAGAGCACAAACACACAGAAUCGUUCUGUGUAGUAUCCUUCUACUGGUGUCAUCACACAGGACAUAUUUUUCCACACCUCACAUUUUCCAUUCAAUGACAGGGUUUGGAAUUUAAUUCACAUUGGUACAUAUGCUAACCAUGGCAUAAUAUUCCAAAAUAUGGAUACAAUUACUUCACAUUCAACAUUUUGAAAAAAGGUCCAAGUUUCUUAGGUUGAUAUUUAGGGCUGUUCACAGUAAGAUCCCAACCUUCUCUGAUAUUUAGGGCUGCUCACAGUAUGACCCCAAUAUUCUCUAUUUUCCACAGGUCCCCCUCUCCACUUCAAAGGAAACCAACCAAACCAGAGGAACCAUUUGCAGUUUCUCACAAGGGAAGGGCAGCAUUUCAAUGGAGAGCUCUCCGUACCAUCAGCUCUCCCCAUCCUUGAAGGGCAGGCCCUGGAACCUUCCUCAGGAGGGCCAGUGUCCUUCACAUGCCCCCUGUGUGGGGCCCUUACCACUCGUGCUGAGCAUUCAAGUGACUAAUGGACUAUUCUCACUGUCCCUUUUCAGCAGCAAGCCCCUGAAGGGUAAGAGCAUGGACCGGGAUGUAGUAGCAGGUGCUCAACAAGUUUUUGUUGAAUUAAGAAAAAAAAAGUAACAAUGUCUUACCGAUUCUUUAUACUGCUAUGGGAGGAGCAAAGGCCAAGCUAGAAGUUGGACUGUGGACACAUUUUCCUCCCUGCCAUCCAUCCACUUAUCCACCCAUCUUUCUUUUUUAUUCCUCCUUCUACCCCACCCUUCAUUCUUUCUCUUUGGUGGCAGCCAUGAAAACAUGCCUUCAGAUUUCUGACAGCACUGUAAAGCUGGGGUAGGAUAACUAAUGAGAAGCAUGAGCCAGUGCUGGAUAUGUGGCCCCUCUUGUCACCAUGGGGGUGUGGCAGGACUGACAACAGUGGCUCACACUGGCUGGGCUCCUUUGAGCUGCACCCCCAGGCUGCACUGAUUCCUGGAGUCCCCAUGCAUUGGCAAGGGCCUCCCGUGUUUCACGGUGCAUUCACUUUAUCCUACUGCUACCGGGGAUUUGACAACCCCUAUUUUAUUUUAUUCAUGAGAGACUCAGAGAGAGGGGCAGAGACACAGGCAGAGGGGAGCCCGAUGUGGGACUUGAUCCCAGGAUCCCGGGACCAUGACCUGAGCUGAAGGAAGACGCUCAACCACUGAGCCACCCAAUGGCCCUGGGCAGCCCUUCUAUUUUAGAGUGAGAGGAAGGGACUGCCAGAGAAACUAGUGGCUUGCCUGAGGGGCCACGCCCGGGCCCCCUUGAGCCAAGUCGGAUGCUCAGACGCCAGGGGCAACUGCAGCCCGAGGCAGCGGGGGCUGAACAGUCAGGGCCCAAGAGGUGCUAGAACAAAACGAGUUCCAUGAUUCCUCUCACUUCCAUCGGCUGUCUCUUGGUGAGGGAAGGUCUGAUAUGCCUAGGACACGCUAAAAUGCUGACAUUUGUUUCUUUAAAGCAGACUAUGUCAUUCAGGAGCCAUGGGCUCUUCCUCACUUCUGAUUUUCUAAAUCCUGAGCUUCUGCAGCGAGUCUUCCAGUUCUCAACAAGCAUGACGGCGGGGUCUGUGGGGUCAGCACAGGGCUUCCGCGGCAGCUCCCUGCUCCCCUGGGCCUGGAGGCUGCUGGCGGCCCCCACUCUGCCCCCCUGCGGCCCUGAGGCAGCUGUCCCUUCCAGUGGGCCCCUGGCAGCCGUGGCGCCCUCAUGUCGGGGGCCCAAGGCGAGGUGCAGGGUAAGCCCUCACAAGACGGGCUGCCAGUGCCAUAUGGGGGCCUGGCUGAGCCCCCUCGGAGCCAUCAGCUCUGCUGCCUCCUAGAACAGAUGACAGGGACUGCCUUGUGUGUGUCCGCCAACCUCUCCUGACCUCUGGUAGCCCUUGUCUGGUAGCCCUACCUCUCCUUCCUCUCGGCUCGGGUUUGGGAAAACAGGCUUCUAAAAGCAUUCCUGCUUGUCAGCAUCCUAUCAACCAUUUUCUUGGCUGAUUGAUUCCUGUUUUCUACAAUUCCAAAAUUCAUGUCCUGUGUGUCCUCACGGCUCACAUUUCCUGGUGUCCUUCCUCUGUUCCUUCCCAUCCUCUUACUGCCUCCUCCACACACCUGCCCCGCCUCAGACCUCUGGGCUUGUUUUGUCCAGACAGACAGGACUCCAUGAGCAGCGCUCAGGUGCCACCAUCCAGGUGGCAGCCCGCUGAGACGGGGACUGUGAGGAUAUGGCCCCAGGCACGGCAGAGCCCCUUGGCAGUUCUUAACACACCAUCAGUUUUCAGAGAUGCACUCAGCCUGUUUGGGCCAACAAGCAACCUGAGAGCCAGCGUGGGAGUUACUGGGCAGGAACCAGCAAUCUGAAAGAGAAACAAAUAAGGGCCACCCAGAGUGCUGAAGUGGACGGAACCAGCGGGUAGAGAUAGUAGGUCUGGGUAUGGAGAGCAAUACUCAUUUUCAAUGUUGCUUCCUACGCCACCAUCAGUGGGCAAUGGAUGCUGGCAGUGAUGAUGAUGACAAUACAAAAGAAAAAAGGUUACAUCAGUGAAUUUAACUUUCAAAAAUCAGAUGACUAUAUCUAUAUUCCUGUUUUAACGGUUAGAAGAUAAACUAGAAUCUAGGUCAGUGUCAAACUAAAUACCUGUUUGAGGUGCCUUCCAAAGAGGAGGGUAAAGAAAGCACUUUUUUAAAAAAAUAAUUAAAAUUCUCCCAAAUAGGAUUAAUUUCUUACUAUUCUAAUUUUUAUUUCAAGCGUACAAAACCUGGAUCCUGAUGUGGAGAAGAUGACCAAUCGUUUCCAAGUCUGGUUUGGUUCUGGUUGUUACAUUAGCCCCUACAUCAUAUGUGGGUUCCACAUGCCCCCACACAGCUGGGAAAGUCUCGCCCUCGCCUUUGCUUUUAUCCUUCUUGGAGGAGACUAAGACAUCACAUAUUCCCCAGAGGAGGAGAAGAGGACAGCUGCAUUUUGCCCUUAGCCCCUCCAUCAUUAUCAUUCCAAAAUGCUGCAUCUUAAGUUUGGCUUUCUCUGUCUGCUAAGAACUCAGAUUCUUCCCACUGAGAGAUAAGGCUCCCCAAAACGUCACCAAAAUGUGUUCCAGAAGCGGUUAGCAGUCCUUGUCCUGGCCUGGGUGAGCGGGAUCUAGUAGGAACCAGCCCCUUCACCUCACAAAACCAGCCAUCCUUCCCAAAAUGUCAAAUAGGGGAUAAUUGGUUCAGGUAAGUGUCAGCUCCCCAGCCCCCAGGCCACCAGUUUUUGGUAUUCUUUCUUUUCUUUCUAGUAAUUCAUUUCACAAUGACCUUCCUCCAAAAGGCUGGCAUUUUUACAAGUGUUUCUUGGGGAAGGUGUCCCGCUUUGCUAAAGCAGCAUCCUAUGAAACUACAGCAAAGUCUUGCUGGUGUUGCUUGUUACUGCUGGGGAAGUCGAGAUUCUGGGUGAGCGCAGACCUCCACCUCCAGUGGGUGUGCACUCACCUCCUUCAAUUGGCACAUGUGUGCCACUUCCAGGAGGGUAGAAUUUAACCUGAGCACUUUCCCCCCGAAGUGUGAACUACGUUCUCACACACUCUGUCACCUUCCUUUGUGUUUCUAAAUUAGAAAACCUAAACCCAAAUGUCACUUUUCUCAGACAUGAAACCCUCUCAUGGUCAAUGUAAAAGGAGGAGGCAAUUAACUUCCUGGGUAAAUUCAACCACGCUGAAAAAAGUGGUUAAAAAAGAAAACCUAUUCCACAAACGACAUCCCUUGUUUAAAGCCAAAAUGAUGAAUGCAGCUCCUGAGGCUCCUGUCAAAUGAGCAAGGUGGAGGAGAGCGCUUGCCUUCCCUCUGUUGCCAGCUGGCUACGAGAAUGCACUGUUUCUAUGCUGCUGGAUACACUGAUUGGCUGUUUGAUGAGGCCGAUUUGUGGCUAGUUUCUUUGCUUUUUUUCCUUUUCCUUUUUGAUACUGUCCUUCAAGUUUUCUAAUAAAACAAGCUCCAUUUCUGAGUUUCCAGUGGGGCUAUUACGGCCUAGCACACAAUGGGCCCGGCAGGCCCUGACUGAACGCACUGCAUUCUGCUAGUGAGUCCAGUAAUUAUAGAGGAAUAGACCUAUGCAGAAACAAAAAGACAGAGGCAAGGCUCCAACUAGUUGUUCAAGUCUCAACAGUUUUCUUCCAGGUUUGAUUAAAAUUGUGCUUGAAAAUUUGUCGUCUCCCACCUCUGCAUAAGUGAAAAUGAAAACACAUUUUUAUUUGCACAGUUCUUUAGAUGGUCAUGUUGUGACUCAGAGGGUGAAGGGACCUGCUUAACCAUAUUUGAAUGAAUUUCUAAGCCACAGACUGAUUCCUGCCAGGAUGGCUUAGAGCCCUGGAGUUCCCGUAACCACAGGAGGUCAACCAUUUCCCCAUGACGAAAUUUCCUCAACCCCGCCCAAAGGCAUCAGUUGCUUCUCUAGAUGAGCUUGACCUCAGGAUACAAAAUAGCAUGUGGAGCAUGGUUGCACCUGGCACCUCAAAAACAGCUUCUUAUUAAGGCACCAGCAGGUCCUAGCAUCUUAGCUCAAUGACUAUGGCUUCAGUAACAGAAGUGGGGUAUGCUGAGUGGAAGGUCUGGAAGUUUCUGUCCUACUCAAGCCAAGCGCCAUCUUCCCAGAGCUACUGAUGGCCACAGGUA